rnacentral:SRP_RNA from 1 species
GCCGGGUGCAGUGGUGCGUGCCUGCAGUCCCAGAUACUCAGGAGGCUGAGGUGGGAGGAUCGCUUGAGCCCAGGAGUUCUGGGCUGUAGUGCGCUAUGCCGAUUGGGUGUGUGCACUAAGUUCGGCAUCAAUAUGGUGACCUCCUGGGAGCGGGGGUCCACCAGGUUGCCUAAGGAGGGGUGAACCGGUCCAGGUCGGAAACGGAGCAGGUCAAAACUCCCGUGCUGAUCGGUAGUGGGAUCACGCGUGAAUAGCCACUGCACUCUAGCCUGGGCAACAUAGCGAGACCCUGCCUCU